UCCGUUUUGUCAACGGCAGUCUCUCUAGAGUGCCCAACUUAAUGCUGGCAACUAAAGAUAAGGGUUGCGCUCGUUGCGGGACUUAACCCAACAUCUCACGACACGAGCUGACGACAGCCAAGCACCACCUGUGACAGCGCCCCGAAGGGAAGCCAUGUUUCCAUGGCGGUCGCUGACAUGUCAAACCCAGGUAAGGUUCUUCGCGUUGCGUCGAAUUAAACCACAUGCUCCGCUGCUUGUGCGGGCCCCCGUCAAUUCCUUUGAGUUUUAGCCUUGCGGCCGUACUCCCCAGGCGGGGCACUUAAUGCGUUAGCUCCGGCACGGGGGGAGUCGACACCCCCCACACCUAGUGCCCAUCGUUUACAGCGUGGACUAC
rnacentral:misc_RNA from 1 species